rnacentral:rRNA from 1 species
UACGAAGGGGGCUAGCGUUGCUCGGAAUCACUGGGCGUAAAGCGCACGUAGGCGGCUUUUUAAGUCAGGGGUGAAAUCCUGGAGCUCAACUCCAGAACUGCCUUUGAUACUGAGAAGCUUGAGUCCGGGAGAGGUGAGUGGAACUGCGAGUGUAGAGGUGAAAUUCGUAGAUAUUCGCAAGAACACCCGUGGCGAAAGCGGCUCUCUGGGACGGUACUGACGCUGAGACGCGAAAGCGUGGGGAGCGAACAGG